rnacentral:rRNA from 1 species
UACGUAGGGGGCAAGCGUUGUCCGGAUUUAUUGGGCGUAAAGAGCGUGUAGGCGGCCAGGUAGGUCAGCUGUGAAAACUCGAGGCUCAACCUCGAGACGUCGGUGAAACCACCUGGCUAGAGUCCGGAAGAGGAGAGUGGAAUUCCUGGUGUAGCGGUGAAAUGCGCAGAUAUCAGGAAGAACACCCGUGGCGAAGGCGGCUCUCUGGGACGGUACUGACGCUGAGACGCGAAA